AACGAACGCUGGCGGCAUGCCUAACACAUGCAAGUCGAACGAGACCUUCGGGUCUAGUGGCGCACGGGUGCGUAACGCGUGGGAAUCUGCCCUUGGGUUCGGAAUAACAGUUAGAAAUGACUGCUAAUACCGGAUGAUGACGUAAGUCCAAAGAUUUAUCGCCCAAGGAUGAGCCCGCGUAGGAUUAGCUUGUUGGUGAGGUAAAAGCUCACCAAGGCGACGAUCCUUAGCUGGUCUGAGAGGAUGAUCAGCCACACUGGGACUGAGACGCGGCCCAGACUCCUACGGGAGGCAGCAGUGGGGAAUAUUGGACAAUGGGCGAAAGCCUGAUCCAGCAAUGCCGCGUGAGUGAUGAAGGCCUUAGGGUUGUAAAGCUCUUUUACCCGGGAUGAUAAUGACAGUACCGGGAGAAUAAGCCCCGACUAACUCCGUGCCAGCCGCCGCAGUAAAAC
rnacentral:rRNA from 1 species